rnacentral:rRNA from 1 species
UACGGAGGGUGCGAGCGUUACCCGGAUUUACUGGGCGUAAAGGGCGUGUAGGCGGCCUGGGGCGUCCCAUGUGAAAGGCCACGGCUCAACCGUGGAGGAGCGUGGGAUACGCUCAGGCUAGACGGUGGGAGGGGGUGGUGGAAUUCCCGGAGUAGCGGUGAAAUGCGCAGAUACCGGGAGGAACGCCGAUGGCGAAGGCAGCCACCUGGCUCACUUGUGACGCUGAGGCGCGAAAGCGUGGGGAGCAAACCGG